rnacentral:lncRNA from 1 species
GUCCCUCGUCUUCUGUAAAUGUAGCACGGAAAUUUAAUACCCAAUAUUGUAAGGCAACUGAUCUUUUGUAUAUAACAAGAGCAUAGAGGCAACUGAUCCACUCACCUCAAUAAUAACCAAAAUCAAGCAAAUUAGUUAACAAAUAAAAUUCCAAAUAAAUAAUGAAUGCCAAUAACAUUUAUAGUCACAUGACCAUGUAAGCAAUCUAUUAGGAGAGUAUUUGGUACCUCAUUCCUAAAAG